UACGAAGGGGGCUAGCGUUGUUCGGAUUUACUGGGCGUAAAGCGUGCGCAGGCGGUUCGUUGUGUCGGUGGUGAAAGCCCCGGGCUUAACCUGGGAAUGGCCAUGGAAACUGGCGAACUGGAGUGUGGCAGAGGGGGGUGGAAUUCCGCGUGUAGCGGUGGAAUGCGUAGAGAUCCGGAAGAACACCGGUGGCGAAGGCGGCCUGCUGGGCUAUGGCUGACACUGAGGCGCGACAGCGUGGGGAGCAAACAGG
rnacentral:rRNA from 1 species